CAGAUACACCAGAGAGAAUGUGAGGCUGUUGUAUAUGAACAUCCCAGGUGAUCAGAAGCUUAUGAAAUACUCACACCAGCCCAUCUGACACCAACAACCAUGCCACGACCAAAGACAUUGAGAUCACAUUUCCCCCAUUCUGAUGUUUUAUCACUGGAAACAACGGUGGAUCACCAUGGAAACAAGCCCUUGAUGGCUAUGGGCAGUAUGGUUCUGCCUCUGCAAGUUUGCAAUGCACUUAGGUGAAAAAGAGAGGAACACCUGGAGAUCACUCAUACAUCAAGGAGCGGAAUAUUUCAAGCAGCACAUGAGGAAACAAGCAGAGGAGUAGAGAACAAAAGCAUGAGCCCUCCAGUCCAAAUUUCCUCUUCCCACUGUUUUGAGCUGUCCUCACUGCAAUAAAAUAUGUAUAGCCAAGAUGUGAC
ensembl:lncRNA